CAUCAAAACUGCUUCAAUAAGCUAAAGUUGUUUUGGUGACUAUAGCUUCCGUUUAAUUAACAAACAUAUGAUAGAAAGGCACCUUGGUAGAGGGACUUAUUGCUAAGAGCAGGGCUACGUAACCUCCUGCACUCCAGAUGUUUGGACUACAUCUCCCAUAAUGCUCUUGCAUCCUUAAUGCUGGCAAAGCAUCAGGGUAGAUGCAUUCCAUAAUAUCUGGAAUGCCACAUUUUGCCUAACCCUGGCUAAAAGUAACGUCUAAGGAAUGCUCGUAGGAUACAAAGUGUGCAAGGAAGUAUCUAAAACUUUUUUUUUUCAUCAUUCAAAAUUUGUUUUUGCAAACCCCACUUGCUUCUUAACUCCCCCCCCCUUUGCUUCCUGCUCGCAAAAGGUAGUGGUGAGACACAUUUUAGGAAACUUGCAGCUGUGUAUUUCCUUUUACAUGAAAUAGGCUUCCCAGAAGUUCUGAUUUUGACAGGACAGUCCCAAUUUUUAAGUCCUUUAGCGAAACCUACAGAGACACAGAGUAUGCACACAGAGACACUCAGUAGCAAAAUCCUAAUUUAAAAAUGAGAAGCACUCAUCUAAGUGAGUGUAAGCUGGAGGCAUGUAGUAAUAUUGCACAUGAAUGGGCUUUUGAUGGUUCUCUAAAUGUUUGUUGUUGAGGGGUUUAGAAAUUGGCAUUAAAUUGUUAUAGAAGCCUAUUGGAGGGGCAGGAUGUUAAUGCAUUACAUGGUUAAUUCAUUUGAAAGAUGAAGUUAUAGAGGUGACGUCCAUAUAAUUAUACCCAUCUAUGUAAAUCUAUAGACGUGAAAAAUACUAUAAUCUAACUUAUACACUUUGCAGGUGACUGGAG